AUGAACCCCUCCUCGGCCCCGGGGCCGGAUGGCCUGCCAGUUAUGUUUUUUAAGAUGUUCUGGCCGACCAUCAAGCCGGAGGUCAUGGCUCUGUUCGAGGAAUUCUUCUCUGACACCAUGGAUCUUGGGCGCCUCAACUAUGGCAUCAUGACUCUUAUUCCCAAGGUCCCGGGCACCUUCGACAUCCUCCAAUUUCGGCCAAUCACCAUGAUCAAUGUGAUAUUCCGGAUUCUGGCCAAAGGGUACGCCAAUAGGGUGACCCUGCUCGCGGACACAAUUACCCACCCGAACCAAUCCGCCUUCAUUCAAGGUCGAUUUAUUCUGGAUGGGGUUCUGGUGUUCCACGAAGUCCUCCAUGAGGUUCGGCUGCGUCAUCAUCGAGCGGUGUUUCUGAAGCUCGACUUCCACAAGGCCUAUGACACGGUCCACUGGCCCUUCUUGCGGGAAGUCUUGCUUCGCAAGGGCUUUGACGACCGGUGGGUGACUAGGGUUAUGCAACUUGUCUCCUGUGGACGGGCCGCGGUGAACAUCAACGGGGACAUUGGGCCCUACUUCCCCACCCUCUGUGGGGUUCGCCAGGGCGACCCUUUCUCACCGUUUCUGUUCAACAUGGUGGUUGAUGCCCUGGCAGCCAUCCUUGAUAAGGCCAAGGAUGUUGGCCACAUUCACGGUGUCGUCCCUCACCUAGUCGGAGGGGGGGUCUCCCUCCUCCAAUACGCAGAUGAUACCAUAAUAAUGGUGGAGGGCACUGCCCAUGACAUUGCUAACCUAAAGUUCCUCCUCCUGUGCUUCCAACAGAUGUCGGGCCUUACCAUUAACUUCGAUAAGAGCGAAGUGAUGGUGCUCGGGGCACCUCCCGAGGAAGCACAGUCCAUAGCGGACCGACUUAACUGUCGGUUGGGUUCUUUCCCCACGACUUACUUGGGGAUCCCCAUUAGUGACUCGCGCCUCACCGUGGCGGACCUCCGCCCCACGGUGACCCGUAUGCAACAUCGGGUCGAACCCUAG
rnacentral:rRNA from 1 species